rnacentral:rRNA from 1 species
UACAGGGGGGGCAAGCGUUGUUCGGAAUUACUGGGCGUAAAGGGCUCGUAGGCGGCCAACUAAGUCCGACGUGAAAUCCCAAAGCUUAACUUUGGAACUGCGUCGGAUACUGGAUGGCUUGAAUUCGGGAGAGGGAUGCAGAAUUCCAGGUGUUAGCGGUGAAAUGCGUAGAUAUCUGGAGGAAUACCGGUGGCGAAGGCGGCAUCCUGGACCGACAUUGACGCUGAGGAGCGAAAGCUAGGGGAGCAAACGGG